AGAUUAAGUUAUUAAGGGCGCACGGUGGAUGCCUUGGCACUAGAAGCCGACGAAGGACGUUACUAACGACGAUAUGCUUUGGGGAGCUGUAAGUAAGCUUUGAUCCAGAGAUUUCCGAAUGGGGAAACCCAGCACGAGUUAUGUCGUGUUAUCUGCAUGUGAAUACAUAGCAUGCAAGAAGGCAGACCCGGAGAACUGAAACAUCUUAGUACCCGGAGGAAGAGAAAGAAAAAUCGAUUCCCUGAGUAGCGGCGAGCGAAACGGGAAGAGCCCAAACCAAUAAGCUUGCUUAUUGGGGUUGUAGGACACUCUGUACGGAGUUACAAAAGAAUUGGUUAGACGAAUAACCUGGAAAGGUUAAUCAGAGAAGGUAAUAAUCCUGUAGUCGAAAACGAAUUCUCUCUUGAGUGGAUCCUGAGUACGACGGAGCACGUGAAAUUCCGUCGGAAUCUGGGAGGACCAUCUCCUAAGGCUAAAUACUCUCUAGUGACCGAUAGUGAACCAGUACCGUGAGGGAAAGGUGAAAAGUACCCCGGAAGGGGAGUGAAAGAGAACUUGAAAC
rnacentral:rRNA from 1 species